rnacentral:rRNA from 1 species
UACGGAGGGGGGCUAGCGUUGUUCGGAAUUACUGGGCGUAAAGCGCACGUAGGCGGCUUUGUAAGUUAGAGGUGAAAGCCCAGGGCUCAACCCUGGAAUUGCCUUUAAGACUGCAUCGCUAGAAUUGUGGAGAGGUAAGUGGAAUUCCGAGUGUAGAGGUGAAAUUCGUAGAUAUUCGGAAGAACACCAGUGGCGAAGGCGACUAGCUGGCCUGUUCUUGACGCUGAGGCGCGAAAGCUAGGGGAGCAAACGGG